CAGGCCUAACACAUGCAAGUCGCACGAGAACGCUUCAGCUUGCUGAAGCUAGUAAAGUGGCGCACGGGUGAGUAACGCGUGGGUAAUCUACCUCCAAAUUGGGGAUAACAUUGCGAAAGCGAUGCUAAUACCGAAUGAUAUCUCAAAAAUUUCGGUUUUUGAGAUCAAAGGUGGCCGCUCCAUGGAAGCUACUGUUAGGAGAUGAGCCCGCGUACCAUUAGCUUGUUGGUAGGGUAAUGGCCUACCAAGGCAACGAUGGUUAGCUGGUAUGAGAGGAUGAUCAGCCACACUGGAACUGACACACGGUCCAGACUCCUACGGGAGGCAGCAGUGAGGAAUUUUGCGCAAUGGGGGAAACCCUGACGCAGCAACGCCACGUGAGUGAUGAAGGCCUUCGGGUAGUAAAGCUAUGUCAAGUGGGAAGAACUUGCCCUGUGCUAAUAUACNCCGGGCACUGACGGUACCACUGAAGGAAGCACCGGCUAACUCCGUGCCAGCAGCCGCGGUAAU
rnacentral:rRNA from 1 species